rnacentral:tRNA from 1 species
GCAUAGAUAUGCUUCCGGUAAAGCACUGGUCUCGUAAACCAGGGUCGUGAGUUCAAUCCUCACUGGAGGCA